rnacentral:rRNA from 1 species
GACGUAGGGGGCGAGCGUUGUCCGGAUUUAUUGGGCGUAAAGCGCGCGCAGGCGGUUCGGAAAGUCGGAUGUGAAAAUCCGGGGCUCAACCCCGGACGUGCAUCCGAUACUUCCGGACUGGAGGCAGGUAGGGGAGAGCGGAAUUCCCGGUGUAGUGGUGGAAUGCGUAGAUAUCGGGAGGAACACCAGUGGCGAAGGCGGUUGCCUGGGGCUUUGCUGACGCUGAUGCGCGAAAGCGUGGGGAGCGAACAGG